rnacentral:rRNA from 1 species
GAUGAACGCUAGCGACAGGCUUAACACAUGCAAGUCGAGGGGCAGCGGGGGCGAAAGCUUGCUUUCGCCUGCCGGCGACCGGCGCACGGGUGAGUAAACACGUAUGCAACCUGCCCACCGCAGGGGGAUAAGCCGGAGAAAUCCGGUCUAAUACCGCGUAACAUCCCCGGGAGACAUCUUCCGGGGAUUAAAGGAAGCGAUUCCGGCGGUGGAUGGGCAUGCGGCGCAUUAGCUAGUCGGCGGGGUAGCGGCCCACCGAGGCGACGAUGCGUAGGGGUUCUGAGAGGAAGGUCCCCCACACUGGUACUGAGACACGGACCAGACUCCUACGGGAGGCAGCAGUGAGGAAUAUUGGUCAAUGGGCGGAAGCCUGAAACCAGCCAAGUCGCGUGAGGGAAGACGGCCCUGUGGGUUGUAAACUUCUUUUAAUGAGGGAAUAAAGUGCCUUACGUGUAGGGUUUUGUAUGUACCCUCAUGAAUAAGCAUCGGCUAAAUUCCGUGCCAGCAGCCGCGGUAAC